GACGAACGCUGGCGGCGUGCUUAACACAUGCAAGUCGAACGGUAAGGCCCUUCGGGGUACACGAGUGGCGAACGGGUGAGUAACACGUGGGUGAUCUGCCCUGCACUUCGGGAUAAGCCUGGGAAACUGGGUCUAAUACCGGAUAGGACUCCUGGCUUCAUGGUUGGGGGUGGAAAGCUUUUGCGGUGUGGGAUGGGCCCGCGGCCUAUCAGCUUGUUGGUGGGGUGAUGGCCUACCAAGGCGACGACGGGUAGCCGGCCUGUGAGGGUGACCGGCCACACUGGGACUGAGAUACGGCCCAGACUCCUACGGGGGGCAGCAGUGGGGAAUAUUGCACAAUGGGCGCAAGCCUGAUGCAGCGACGCCGCGUGAGGGAUGACGGCCUUCGGGCUGUAAACCUCUUUCAGCACCGACGAAGCGCAAGUGACGGUAGGUGCAGAAGAAGGACCGGCCAACUACGUGCCAGCCGCCGCAGUAA
rnacentral:rRNA from 1 species